GGCUCAGUCGUUCCCAGGGGUCCACUAUACCCUUGGUCUGUGUCAUCUCAGGUGUGCUUGAGCUCCUGGAAUACCUUCGAACUGUCAUGACAUUUUCUGAGGGGGAAAAGACAUGCAAGAUAGCAGUGAUGGGUUGAAACGCUCGGUUCUGCUCUAACUUCCUGAUCUCCUCCCGCAUCUCCAUGAUGACACGGGCCAAGGUGCGGGUUCCCUCCAUGGCGCCGCUGCUGCGCUGCCAGAACCAGGGCUUCCCAAAGAGCGCGGCGGGUUCUUGAUGCGGGUCGUGCCCCAGGACCUCGUGGUGCUGCCCGGCGUUUAACAUGCCGCCUGUACAAUCUCAGUGCGGAUCUUGGCUGUGACUACAUGGUGCCUAUACAGCUGAUCCAUCUACAGGGGAACAGAUCUGCCCGUCGCCCUUGGGGAGGAUGUUUUAUUCAUCAGCACCUGGGUCCAGUUUCUGGAAAACUACACAGGGGACCUUGCACGGCACGUGGGGACCUGAAUCCGCUUUGUGGUUCUGAACGCAACACAGGGACCAUUUGCUAUCUCUUUAGGUGUAAUUUACAAAAAUUAUUUAUGCAGUCCAGUAUCAAACAGCAAUUCCAUGGAUGGGGGUCACUUCUGGAUAGCAUUACCUGUUCAGAAGCAACCUGAGCCAGCCACAGUCCAAGCACACCAAAGCUGGUACAGAAAAGACUAGAACUGAAAUCAGCUGAUUGUGCAAAAUCGCCAAAUGAAGUGAUGAAAAUGUGUCCGACUCUGGAAAGAAGAACUGUCAUAACAUUAAAAAUUAACAAAGCACUCUACGGUGCGAUCAUGACCUGCAAAACAUUGACACCUGAUCACUUGGAUGCAGCACACUCUAGUCAAGCCAAUAUAUUUUGGGUCACUUGCCUUUCAGUGAAAGUUUCCCUUCUCAUCAUUUGGAUCGCAACAAUUAAAAAAAUCAUCCAUUUUCUAUAAGGCUUAUCAUAAUUCAGAAGAGUCUAUCCAAACAAAUACAAGCAAGUAAUCACUCAAUGCUAGCUCUUGAACAUUAACAAAAUUUUAUUUAAAUGUUAUACAUAAAUUUUUAGUUUUUAUCUUUUUUUUUGUGAAGUCAGCUAAACAAAUAUUCAUAUGUAUAUUUUAUUUAAAAAAAGGGAACAUUUCAAAUGUUUUAAAUAUUAAUAUUUCUUAUAUACAAUUCAAAACAGGAAAUAAUAACAGUAACAAUGCAUUUAAAAAUGUUACAAAACAUAACUCUGUUUUCUUUUUUUUUUCUCCCGGUUCUACUUGAAAAUGGGCCUGCUGAUAUUUUGGGGGGGGGAAAUGUUAGCGAGGAUACAAAUUAGCACUGUGGAGCUGCUCUACAUUCAAAAACCGAGCGGACGGGCAUUCAGCUCUUGACACGCUUGAGAAAAUAACACAUUUGGUUUCUUCGCAAUAGCUUCAAAUAUUUUCUUAUUUUUGGGGGCCGGGGGCAAUUCAAACUUUCUUCUUAAAACAUCAAAAAUAGAACACAAAGAGAAGCUGAAUGCACCUCCGGCUCGGUAAGGUCACUGAAAAUAAAG